rnacentral:lncRNA from 1 species
CUGUACUCUUGAAUAUGAAACUCCAUGGCCGCAUACCUGUAAGUGGAAUGAUCUCACAGUAUAAUCUCACUCAACCUGAAGGUGUCACAAAUUUGGCACAAAUCAUAUAUAAGCGGAUUCGGUUCGAGGGUUUUGUUAUAUCUGAUUACUUUCACCUUUAUACAAAAUUCUUGGAAUUUGUCCUGCCUCUUAUAAGAGAAGGAAAGAUUGUGUAUGUGGAAGACAUAGCUGAGGGUCUUGAGAAUGGUCCUGCUGCAUUGAUUGGCCUAUACAGUGGUCGCAAUGUUGGUAAACAAGUGGUUGUUGUUGCUCAUGAAUGAAUGCAGAUGCUUUCUUUAAUGUUUGUGCCUUUUCUUUCUUUCAAGUUUUUUGAGUUGUGUUACUUGUGUAUGAAGCAACCUAUAAAAGGGGUCCUUGUUAAAAAAUACCGUUUUGUUGAUGGUGUUCUUGUUAAUAGCUUCUUAGAAAUGGAAAGGGGUCCUAUAAAAGCACUGACAGAUGAAGGAAGUGAAAAUCCUCUUGUGUAUCCUGUUGGACCCAUCAUCCAGACAAUAACAAGUUCUGACGAUGAUGCUAAUAUGUUGGAGUGUCUGUCAUGGUUGGAUGACCAACAACCUUGCUCAGUUUUUCUCAACAAUAACAUAUUGGUAAUUAGUUGUUACAAACGUUAAAAAUCAAUAAUACAUUGGUUCGAGUAAAACUUGAUUCAAACUUUUUAAGAAAUAACUUGUGUUGGAAUCUUGUGGAUGAAAAAAUAUGGUUGAGAGAAAGAUUCCACUAUAAAUGACAAAUAUAUUUUCGAUAUAGACUAGUCAUAAUAAAGAUGUUGGAUACUCCACACCAAUAAUAUGGUUAAAAAACAUCCCCUCCAAACCACCUUAUUAACUCCUAGUUAAGUUUUGUGGUUUUUUCUUUUAGAAAGAUAUGGUUAUAGAGCAAUAUACUAGUAAUAAGGACCGAUUCGAGUUGUGUGCAGUUGUAGUCCAUUUACUACAUGCGAUUAAUUAUAUCGGUUGUUCGUUCAAUCAACAUACUACAAUCGCAAUUUUAAAACCAUAUUUUAGAUAUAAAAAUAUUGAGAAAUAAAAAUGAAAACAAUUUGUGUGUAUCAAUUGAAAUUUUGAAUGAUUUUUCGCAAUGCUUAUAAUAUUAUGAGAAUAUCUCCAAAAAAAAUUAGAUUUUUUUUUAACAAAACAUGAAUUAAAUAUGAAUUUUUAAGUACCAAAAACAUAAAAAUUCAUAUUUAAUUCAUCCCUUGUUAACAAAUUUAAACUUUUGCAAGAGAGAAAUCUAUAAUGUAUUAAACAUGAUUGUUGAAAAAAAUUCAAAAUUUCCAAGAUACACAUGAAUUGACUUGAAAGCAGGACCAAAAGUUGUGGUAUAGAACUUUUGAAGAAAUCGAAGAAAAUUUUAGGGGGAUUAAAAUAAAAAGUUUGAAUAUUUAUAUGGACCAUAAAUAUAUUUAAACCUUAAAAACAUUCUUCAUGCAAAUUUGUUUGACAAAAUUAUACUUGUGGUUCUUUAACUUAACUUCAGAUAAGUAUUUGGUCUUUUAUAUGUUUUUCACGUCAUAUUUGCCAUUUUAAUCAAUUUGGAUAUGAAUUUUCAAGUUUCAAAUCUAAAUUCAUAUUAAAAACUUGAAAAUCCAUAUUAAGUGGAUCAAAAUGACAAAAUUAACGUGAAAAAUAAAAAAGAUAAAAAACUAAAUCGUUACUUGAAAUUAAAUUAAACGAACAAUUUUGGCAAUUUGUUUCAUACAAAUACGUUAGAUAAAUGUACAAACCAAUGUGUGGCCAGUUCUAUAUGUACAACACAAACACCACAAAGAUUUUAGUGACACAAUUCCUGAGAUGGCGGAAGUGAGGAACAAGCAAGUGAUUCUGAAGGACUAUGUGUCUGGUUUUCCUAAAGAAUCAGACCUCAACAUUGUUGACAGUACCAUAACACUCAAGCUUCCACAAGGUUCCAAUGAUGUGGUUUUGCUCAAAAAUCUGUACUUGUCUUGUGAUCCUUACAUGAGACUCCUGAUGACCAAGGACACUACUGCAGGACUUGGUGCUCUCACCCCUGGUUCUGUAUGUCAUGCUCUCUCCUUUCAUCAAUUAUUAUUAGAUAUCAGUAUAAGCUAACACAGUUGCAAUUGAUCAAGGAAUCUGAAGUAUUGAGAUUUUUUUAUUUUUUAUUUUUUAUCAUAGAAUAAAUAUAGCUACUAACUGACGAGUAAUUGCAGCCACUGACAGGUUUUGGAGUGUCUAAAGUUGUAGAAUCUGGACAUCCAGAUUAUAAGAAAGAUGAUUCAGUUUGGAGUCUUACUAAAUGGGAAGAGUAUAGUUUGGUUCCUACAACUGGAAUUUUCAAAAUUGAGCACAAUGAUGUCCCACUUUCCUAUUAUACCGGAAUUCUUGGUACACGCGUUCCGUUCAACAAUUUCAAUUUAUAUUGAUAUUAGUCGCGCAAUUUUCUUCCAUUUUGUUGUGUUUUUUGACAUAUUUUUACGCUUUUGUUUGAGUACAGGUAUGCCGGGAAUGACUGCAUAUGCUGGUUUCUUUGAAUUAGGCAGUCCUAAGAAAGGAGAGAAUGUUUAUGUUUCAGCUGCAUCCGGUGCUGUUGGUCAACUUGUAGGUCAAUUUGCAAAACUGCAUGGUUGUUAUGUUGUUGGAAGUGCUGGAACAAAAGAAAAGGUAUAUGCAUACUUUUGUUGUUAUAUGUGCUUGCAAAAAUAAUGAAUCAUCAACAUCCCCUAAAAAAAACCUAUGAUUAUUUAUUCCACUGUUUAAAGUACUAUUAUUUUGACUAAGUCUAAUUGCACUAACAACAAUCCAUAUCUUUGUUCACUUGGUGAGAUUUAGUUAAUUUGAUUAUACUACAAAAAUACUAUUUUCAAUUUUGGAAGUUUUUGGAUAAUUAUAUUAAAUGAACUGAAUUGUUGUGGCACACUAGGUAGAUCUGUUGAAGAAUAAAUUUGGAUAUGAUGAAGCCUUUAACUACAAAGAAGAACCAGACCUCAAUGCAACUUUAAAAAGGUCUGUUUUUAACAUUUUUAUGGCAGAUUUUAAUCAAUUUGUUUAUUGACAUCAAAAAGUAUAGUUACCUAGUUAGCAACACUUCAAAUUGAAGGCGAGUCAGAGAAGCGUUGAUGUCUGACACCAACACAACAUUGUCACUCGUGAUUGUAUACAAUCACUUCUAUUUUUCUAAAUUAGUACUCGUAUGUAUGUAUCCGUAUCGUGUCAGUAGUCAGUUAGAAUUUCUUGGUAAUAUGAGACACUAAUAACUAUGGGAUAUCAAUUUAUGUAUAUUAGGUACUUUCCAGAAGGCAUUGACAUUUACUUUGAGAAUGUUGGUGGGAAAACACUUGAUGCUGUACUUUUGAAUAUGAGAGUCCAUGGCCGCAUACCUGUAAGUGGAAUGAUCUCACAGUACAAUCUUACUCAACCUGAAGGUGUCACAAAUUUGGCACAAAUCAUAUAUAAGCGGAUUCGGAUCGAGGGUUUUGUUAUAUCUGAUUACUUUCACCUUUAUACAAAAUUCUUGGAGUUUGUCCUGCCUCUUAUAAGAGAAGGAAAGGUUGUGUAUGUGGAAGACAUAGCUGAGGGUCUUGAGAAUGGUCCUGCUGCAUUGAUUGGCCUAUAUAGUGGUCGCAAUGUUGGUAAACAAGUGGUU